rnacentral:lncRNA from 12 species
GAAUCUCUGCCAUCCUCCUCUGUAGCUGGCUGGCUGAAGUGUUCUCAAUAUGUGUGAGAGUUGAGGGAUUUAGCUUUGAUCUCUGAGAAUGUUCUUUCCUGUCAUGGUAGCCUGAGGGAUAAGAAAAGAAGAAAAUGUUGGGAGACAUAUUGGUCAUUGAGAAGAAUUGCCAACAAUGAGAAACGGGACCAUUUUUACCCCUCCAGAGGAAGAAGAGUAUAAACCAAAAUAAUUACAAACAUAAGGCCAUAGAAAUUAGAUAUGAGAACUGAGAUAUUUCUGGUGCAGUUGGAGGAAAGGAAAGAACAUUUGGAAAGGAAAGAACACCUUGAUCAGAUUCAGAACCAUUUAGAGAGUUUUCUGGCCCACAAUUGAACUACAGCAACAACAACAACAACAAAAAGACUAAAGGU